UCUUCGUUUGGUUCAGUUGUUGGCAUCAUAUCUAUUGCUGUAGCUGUCUUUGCUGUGUGGAAAUGCAUACGAAAAAAGAUCAAGACUGAAACAAACCAAGGAGCCAGUGAUGCAUCAGGGAAAAGAGAAAACCAAUCUAACAGCUCUGAAGACCAGCCUCUCACUGAAGGAGGAGAAGAGACGGAGCAGACCAGGACACAAAAUAAGAGUUCACAUGCAGAGUCUGGACCUGGGAGAGAUGAAGAGGAAAGGCAAACUCGGGACUCAGUUUCCAGUAGAGGAAGAAAUAGAAACAGAGCAGCUAAUGGCAGAGGGAAAAGUAAAACAUGAUCCAGGCAAGAAAGACAUAAAAACUUUACAUGAAGAGGAAAAGAAAAGACACGGACAUCCUGUGACACUGACAGGAAAAUGAGUGAGGAAUCAGGAGGAGCAAACACUGACUGAACAGUUUGGAUGUAUUUUAUAGUUUGUUAUUUAUUUAGUUUUGUCCUUUUGUAUUUCUGAUCAUCUGCAGGUCAGACUCUUCAGUGUGGCAAAAAGUGCAGGAGUUUUGUGUUUGUACCAGGUUUUGAUUUUGUGUAUUAAAGUUCAGGUGUUUGAUUAGUGUUGUGUUGUGAGGGUGUUGUUACAUACAGGGUUAGAUUCAGGCUCAGGCCUGCUACAGGCUCUGCUAUAAAAUGCUGGUGUCAUUUCUUAAAAAAACAUAUUUUUAAUUGAAUACCUGCUGUGGGUGUUACCAUUCGGGUGGGGCAAGUGGAGGCUAGAAUUAUGUGGUUGGAGGGAAAAGGAUCUGGAGGCAGCUGGAGGACAAGAAAACAUCAAGUUGUCAGGCCUCUGUUGAGAAGUGUCUCUUACAGUGUUUUUGUCUUUGGCUGCAGCUGCAAUGUUUCUUUCUGUGGUUAGACAGUAACUUAGAUCUUCAAUAAUUAAUCACUAGUUCAUUGUAUAUAAAGCUUCACUGACCUCAGAGCAGCAGGGAGAAGUCUUUGUCUGGGGUCUAAACCUGUAAAGGAAGCAGAGGAUCAGUGUGAGAGCUGCUCAGACUUGUUGGUUUUCCCCUGUUUUAAUGCUUCAACCUACUGACAUGCAGGAACGCAUGACCAGCACCUCCCCAACUCAACAGGUUCACACAGCACAGUCUCAGCUCAUUUCAGUUUCCUGUAAAACACAACGUUCAGUUUUCUUUCAGUUUGUACUUUUGUGCUCUCCUCUGAAUUCUGAUCUUUCAGUUGGAAAUUCUCAUAUACAUACAUACACAUGGAGGUUGGAGCGCCCUCUGCUGGUAGGAAGCGAAAGAGCAAAGAGAGAAAAACUGAUGGUUUAUUUUCUGGAGUCACACACACAACACAGUCAGAAAAAAGUCACACACACUUUUGUAGCACUAGUUCCCAGCAGGGGGCAGUGGAGGAUUUGAUAUUUGUGUUCAAACAUCAGUCAGUUCCUGUUCAUAAAAUCUACACAUUCUGAUGCAUUCAUCACAAUCAUCAUCAAUCUACAUCCUGACUGAAAAUCAUUCUAUAGAUCAUUAAAUGUUGUGAGUUAAACACUCAGUGACUGUAAUAUCUAUCUAUCAGUUCAGACAGAUGAACCACAGAGGAUUCAAACCUGCAGCAGCUCUGUUCUUCUAAACAGCAUCAGCAGACGUGUGAACAGAGCAGACAGAACAACAUGUGGUUCAUCUCUUAUAAUAAACUGACUCUGAUCUCAGAGACAGACACUGACUGUUACUCACAGGCAGACAGAAGUUAACAGACUGAAAAAUCCAAGAUACCAUCACCAGUGUCUCUAAUUUAUAUAAAAACAUACUAAAUGAAAUAAGACAACUUUUAUUGUGAACACAAACACAGAGUUAACAGACCAUGUAAAACAUGUAACUGACAGGUUAAGACACCUUUUAACAGUCAACAACCUUUUCUCCAACAGCAGAGUUAUUUAUUUAGGUUACUGCUUUAUUCUCGCUUUAUCAUACAUCUUCACUACAUUCCUUCAUUAAAUUCAACAACGUUGGCACCAUAUCACUGUUAAUAACAGCCAGGCCAGUCAGCAACCAGGCCAGUUCAAAUAAAAGAUGCUGUACCUGAGGUUUUAAAACAUAUCAAUGUGGACAAACUGUGACUGCUGUUGUUUAACUUGUUGAAGAGAUGGCAAAAUGUUUACUGUGCAGCUGAUGUGAUUCAAUAUUCAACCAAACACCUAUUAAAAUUAUUUGACAGAUAACAUUCUUGUAAAUAUCUACAAAGCAUUACAGUUUUUACUGAAUGGUAACAAACUCUCAGUUAAUGUUACAACACUGUGAAGUUUAUUUCCCUCCUUCUUCACUCUCUGUGCUCAGUGACCUGUAAGACAUAUUGGAAAUAAAAAGUUAUCCUCUU